UUAUUAUUGUAGGUAUUCUUAUUCACAUUCUCACUUCCAUUGCUCUUCUUUCUUCCUCAACUUAUUUAAUGUACUUCAGGUAUAAAGUCCAAAGGGAGGAGGAGAGGGAGGACUAAGGAAAUAUUGUUGAUAUAGGUUCUUCUGGAAAAGGUUUCAAACAAAAUUCAGCUGAACAGAUGUUUUGAGGAAACCUCAGCAAAAAAUGUAAAAAUGCUGCAGAGCAUUGAGUAUUUAAGCUGAAAUACAAGAACAAGUAAAGCUUAAGAGUGACAAAAUAAAAUAACAGUAAUUGCAAAAGCUGCAAUUACUUUUGCCCCACCCUAAUGUUCUAUAUUUCCACAAAGAAGAAAUAAAAACAAAGGAAGACAGGCUAAGUCAAAUUGUACAGUUAAUUUCUAAAUCUUUAAUAACAGUCAAACAGCAUCAAUUAAACCUAAUAAAUACAGCAGUAGAAAUUUAGAGUGCAAUAGAAUGAAUAACAUUAUUGAAUAAAAUUGGGUAAUAAAAGAAAAGGAGACAAAAAUUUUAUUUUUGCUUGUAGUGGGGAAUAAAUAAGAAUUAUCUAAAUUAAAUAUCUAAUUAUCUAAAUUAAUUGUCUAAAUUAAAAAGAUGCUAAGAUUCCAUUCAACUCCAGCCCUCCGGCCUGGGUGACAGAGCAAGACUCCAUUCCUGGGUUGCUUGAACCAUCAAAUUUUAUUUAGCCCCAUCUGAACACUUUCUAAAUUUACAAGACAUAAUAUUUUACAACAAAAAUUGGCCUUCAUUUCAAUGACUCUGAACUCCACUAGAAUCUGAUCAACAAAUACAGAAUAAAAUAAGGUAUGAUAAGAUUAGAAUAAUGAAUAUAUUGUUUUUUAUAAUAUAAUUACUUGAAAAUACUUAAAUCGAAUCAUCUCUCUUUUAGUCAAUGAUAUCCAUUUCUAGACCAUCUUGAAUUCAUAAACAUUGUUAUAGUAAAUAAACUCUAACACAUUUCAGCAGUUUAAUUAGCUUUGCUAGGAAGUUCGAAUUUUAUUUUAGAAUAUGCUGUUGUCAACUCCUUGAUCCAAACUAGGAGACUCCUUUUAGGUGAAACAAUCUCUAUACAUGCUGACCAUGGCAAUGAUUGGGUUGUUACUAUGGAAAAAGCAAUUGAAAAUUAAGGAAGACUAGCAGCCACAUUAAUUAAUUGUCAGAACUCAGGCUCUGUUGCUGGCCUUUUGAGGAUACUGAAUAAAAUGUGUGUUGUGUCACUGCAUUUUGACUGAAACCUGUCAAAUGAGAUAGGGUGUGGAAUUUUCCACUUGUGGCAUUACAUUGGCACUCAAAAAAUUUCAGAUUUUGGAGCAUUUCAGAUUUUGGAGCAUUUCAGAUUUUUGGAUUAAGGAUGCUCAACCUGUAAGUAAUUUUAAAAGUGCCUGUCAUACUGUAAAUGCCAAAUAAGAAUUUAUCGUGCUUAUCACAUAUGGUUCACCUAUUUUAUUCUCAGACAUAAAACUGUUUUAUCCUUUAGUAACUGUGGAUGGUCAAUUCUGUUUUUCUGGGAUCACUCACUCAUGUGGUGGUAGUCAGUUGAAAUCUCAGUAGGGCCUGGAUGGACUAAGAUGACCUCACUCACAUGUCUGGCAAUUGGUGCUCACUGUAGGCUGGGAUACCUUAAAUCUCCUCCACAUGAACUCUCAUACCAUAGCAGGCUAGUGUGUUGUUUUUUUACUUGGCAACUCCAGGGAAGAUUUCUAAGAAGGUAAUAGAAACAACUUUAACACCUAUUGACACUCUGCUCUGAAGUUUCAUAAUAUGCGAUUUCUUUUCCAUCCUAUUAGCGAAGGCACAAGGCUAUCUCAAAUUUAACAAAACAAAACAUUUUGAUGAAACAAGAGAGCAGUUUAAUGGUGAUAUUUUCCUCUUGCAUCUAUCAUCCUAUUUGUAUUUAAGCAGAGCUAUGGCAUCUUACACUCAAUGGGUUGGCUACUAUCUAAAACAAAACGAGAAAACAGAAAAUACAAGUGUUGUUGGGGAUGUGGAGAAAUUCAAAGUUUUAUACACUGGUGGUAGGAAUAUAAAAUGGAAGUGUUCUAAAUUAGUGGUUCAAAAUGGAUUAAAUACUUAAAUGUAAGAUCUGAAACUAUAAAACUACUAGAAGUAAACAUAGGAAAAAAACUUCGUGACACUUUUAAGGGCAAUAAUUAUUUUGGAUAUGACCCAAAAAGCACAGGCAACAGAAGUGAAAAUGGGCAAAUGGGAUUGCAUAAAAAUAAAAAUCUUCCGUAUAGCAAAGUAAACAAUUGACAGAGUGGAGAGAAAAUUUACAAAACGGGAGAAAAUUUUACAAACAUACAUGUGAUAAGGGGUUAAUGUCCAAAAUAUGUAAGGAAUUCAACACAAUAGCACGAAAGCAAAUAACCUAAUUUUUAAAAGUGGGCAAAUAACCUGAGUAGACAUUUUUCAAAAGAAGAUAUUCAAAUGGCCAAUAUAAAAUGAAAAUGUAUGAAAAAUGCUCAGCAUCACUAAUCAUCAGGAAAAUGCACAUUAAAACAACAAUUAGACGUCCUCACACGUGUUAGCGGAGGUUGCAGCGAGCUAAGAUUACCCCAUUGCAAUCCAGCCUGGGUGACAGAGUGAGACUCCAUCUCAGAAAAAAUAAAUAAAGAAUUUAUCAGAUCAAGUAAACAAGAAUAAUCAUAGAUUUUAAAGAUUUUCAAUAGUUAAUAAAAUUUAAUAUAUAAAUAUAUUUAUGUAUAUGCAUGUACAUAUUUGUGUGCCAUAUAUACUACACAUAUAUGUAAUACCUAUGCCUGUAAUCCCAGCUACUCUGGAGGCUGAGGCAGGAGAAUUGCUUGAGCCCGGGAGACGGAGGUUGCAGUGAGCCAAGAUCAUGCCACUCCAGCCUGGCUGACACAGUGAGACU
rnacentral:lncRNA from 1 species